rnacentral:rRNA from 1 species
CGAACGAGUUUAGGCUCGUGGCGUACGGCUCAGUAACACGUGGAUAAUCUACCCUUAGGACCGGGAUAACCCUGGGAAACUGGGGACAAUACUGGAUAGGCAAUUAUUCCUGUAAUGGUUUUUUGUUUAAAUGUUUUUUCGCCUGAGGAUGAGUCUGCGGCCGAUUAGGUAGUUGGUUAGGUAAUGGCUUACCAAGCCGUUGAUCGGUACGGGUUGUGAGAGCAAGAGCCCGGAGAUGGAACCUGAGACAAGGUUCCAGGCCCUACGGGGUGCAGCAGGCGCGAAACCUCCGCAAUGUGGGAAAUCGCGACGGGGGGAUCCCAAGUGCCAUUCUUAACGGGAUGGCUUUUCAUUAGUGUAAA